rnacentral:rRNA from 1 species
AUACGUAGGGGGCAAGCGUUAUCCGGAUUUACUGGGUGUAAAGGGAGCGUAGACGGUAAAGCAAGUCUGAAGUGAAAGCUCGGGGCUCAACCCCGGAACUGCUUUGGAAACUGUUUUACUGGAGUGCAGGAGAGGUAAGCGGAGUUCCUAGUGUAGCGGUGAAAUGCGUAGAUAUUAGGAGGAACACCAGAGGCGAAGGCGGCUUACUGGACUGUAACUGACGUUGAGGCUCGAAGGCGUGGGGAGCAAACAGGAUUAGAUACCCUGGUAGUCCACGCGGUAAACGAUGAUCACUAGGUGUCGGCGGCCAUAGGCGGUCGGUGCCGCAGCAAACGCAAUAAGUGAUCCACCUGGGGAGUACGUUCGCAAGAAUGAAACUCAAAUGAAUUGACGGGG